rnacentral:rRNA from 1 species
GAUCCUGGCUCAGAAUCAACGCUGGCGGCGUGCCUAACACAUGCAAGUCGAACGAGAAAGUGGAGCAAUCCAUGAGUAAAGUGGCGCACGGGUGAGUAACACGUGACUAACCUACCCUGGAGUGGGGGAUAACUGAGGGAAACCUUAGCUAAUACCGCAUAACACCUACGGGUCAAAGGAGUAAUUCGCUUUGGGAGGGGGUCGCGGCCGAUUAGUUAGUUGGCGGGGUAACGGCCCACCAAGACGAUGAUCGGUAUCCGGCCUGAGAGGGCGCACGGACACACUGGAACUGAAACACGGUCCAGACUCCUACGGGAGGCAGCAG